rnacentral:lncRNA from 1 species
AGCAAGACACACAGAUUACAAGGUGGUGGAAGUUGGGGGGUGGGCGAGAGGGAGCCCAGGAGACACGGGUCGUGGGGUGAAGUGGGAGGAGAAGGAAGCCUAAGAUGCCGGCACCCAGGAAGGGACCCGGGGCGUCCGGACCCCCAGGCUGAGCCCCCUUCGCGGGCUUUUGGCCUGGGUCACGAGAGUGGUCCCCACCCCCCCGGGAGCCCCAGGAGGAGCUGUCCCGGCGCCUCCGGCGGCGGUGGGGGCUGCUGGACAGAGCCGGGAGCCGCGGGGAAGGGCUCGGGGCGCCUGGAGCACCCACCUCUCCCGGCCGCCGUGCUCCUCCCGCUGCCUCGGGGCCCCCGCAGCCCCCGCCCGGCCGGCCGGAGGGCGGGCGAGGAGGAAAACCAGCCAACCGAGGGGGCCCCGCAGUUCCCGCGAGCCUCCGGGACCCGAGCGCGUGCCUGCCGCCCUGCUUUGCUUCUUGGCUUUGUUGGCAUGAAGGUUCUUGACACUUGGGUUCUUUCCAGAUGCCCCUUCACGUGGCUGACGCACAAUGACGGUGGGUUCUGUUUUGGUUUGGUUUCAUAGUGGUUUAGUGUUCCGUGGGUGCAGACUGGGGAGAAAAGCAUUUUGCUGUUCUAACAAAGCCCUUUGUAUCCGACGUCCAACUAGAGAAAUAUUUUUAUGAAAAGCAACUUUUGAUUACUCUGGAAAAGUUAGAUGCUCUGAACAGAAUAGGGCGGGGUGGUGCUUGGAGGCACUUUCAGGAUCAUGAGUUUGAUUUGGCGAAUUGUUCAAGAUGCAUUUCCUUAAGUGGCAGUUUUGUGAGGGGACUGACAGAGGGGAAAAUGAGCAAACUCAUUCUGUAAUAUUUAGAUUGACGCAGUAAUCAGGAUUGACACAAAAUUACUCCAGGAGGGUCACUAAGACUUGAGAAGGUAAAAAUCGAGAGUGUCAGAUGACGAAGCAGGCCAGUGGCGUGGAACUGAGGAUUAUAUCCAGAGGUUGGAAUGAAAAAAAAAAGUAAAUGGAGGAGAGAGAUCUUGUUUCUGUAUCCUGUUUUGCAUCUGGUACUGAAGCAGGGACAUGAAUUGCUGAUGGUAAUGGAGUCCCUUUUAUGAGGGCAGCAAUAUUAUAUAAAUAGUGGUAGUUUGAGAGGGAGAAAUGGCAAGUUCCCCACUGGUGUGUGUGCACACUGUUUUUGAAUGUCUCUUAAAUAUAUCUAUAAAGUGGAAGGUCAAAAUUGGAUACCAGCAUAGAAAUAGGACUUAGAGAGUAAUAGUUUAUUUUGAAGGAAAUGAAUUAAAAAUAGACCAUCUUUUCUUUAUUCUUUUGAGAUAUGGUGUUUUCCAGGGGUCUUAUUAAACAUGGAAAAGAGAGUGCUGAGGUUUGGGUGGUAUAAUUGGAGAACUCUUUCAUGAGAUUGCUGAUAAGGAUAACUUCAUGUAAAUAGCCCCAGAAAGAAUGCUUUCUUUAAGCACAUUAUCUGGUGAUUCAAGGGUAGGGGGAAAACUGGGACCAAAGAGACCUCUGAAACCUUAUCAGGGUUUUUUUGUGAACUGUAAUAUAGAUGUCCAUCUGUUGUUUUUUUGUUCCUUGAAAUGUAAUGUUCAAAUUGAAUUUUUAGAGUUCUAAAAAGUAGAGUUUGUUUAGAAGAGACCUUCCCUUUUAUUUUGCUACAGAUAUG